AGGUCAGAAUCGGGAGAAACUGGACAUCCAGUGCCGAAGGAGCAACCGCCCCGGUAAACUCUCAGGCAAAAGGACCGUUCUGAUAAA
rnacentral:ncRNA from 2 species